CUUGGUUGUUUGGUGGAUGGGUAUGGUGUAAAUUGUAGCCAUCAAGCAGACAAACGUGCUUCUGCGUACGAAUAGUACACAGGGUGCAUACACGCUUUGUUGUAGUAGUGAUAUUGUAUAACUAAACAAACAG
rnacentral:misc_RNA from 1 species